GGGGCCGUGGUCUAGUGGCUAUGACGCCGCCCUUACACGGCGGAGGUCGCCGGUUCAAGUCCGGCCGGCCCCA
rnacentral:tRNA from 1 species